rnacentral:misc_RNA from 1 species
UUAAGUUCAGCGGGUAGUCCUACCUGAUUUGAGGUCAAAUUUUGUCAAAUGUUUGUUGUUAUAAGCGGUGCUGUCCAGCAUUACCAAAGGCAUAGAUAGAUUUAUCACACCAAUAGCAGCUCAGAUCACCACUAAUGCAUUUCAGGGGAGCCAGCUUUCAUUAGAAAAGAAAGCCUGCAAACCCCCACAUCCAAGCGACA